rnacentral:lncRNA from 1 species
GAUGUUAAAGGCUGUGGGCAAUUUGGAGCUUACUCUUCAACUAGGCCCAGAAAGUGCACAGUGGGAUCAUCACCGGUCAAGUCUGAAUAUGAUUCAGCGUGCGGGUUGUUGACCUUGAAUUUGCACGAUAUGCCUCCUGAAGAUCAGAAAGUUCACAUUGUUGAGAUUGAACUAUAAACAUGCUUUUUAGGCUGGUUAAAGGAUCAUAACUGGAAAUUAUGGAGCUAAUAAAGUGGACAUACCGGAGGUGGUGCAGUACUUUCCAUAUGCUGGUUAAAUCUCGUCCAUUCUAGAAAUAUCUAAUACCAUGUAUCAAUCAUGUACUACGCAUAGACAAGCCCCUCGGGCCGGAGAAAAAUUGAGUGUGCCUGUUAUCAUCUUCCU